GGGGGUGCGUGGCUUCGAUUCCGUGCGCGGGAUCGGGGGAAGCGAGCCGACGUUGUCGAAUCGUCGUGAAAAAGUCGACACAACCAACAACUGCCAACUCUGACGAAAUGGCACUGGCUGCCUAAACCCCAGCCACGUCCGCCCGGUCUCUGCCGUUCAGGCCGGAUCCGGACGACAUCUCGAACGGCUCACCGCUGAGACGGGCCUCACGGCUCAUCGGGACACCACAGUGAGGCUGGGGUCGUCGCCUGCCGCCGGUGAGUGGCGGCGACCCGAGACCCAAUCACCGGCUGCGCUCGGAGAAGCCCCGACGAAGACUCGGAAGACCCGGGUUCGACUCCCGGCACCUCCACCC
rnacentral:tmRNA from 1 species